rnacentral:misc_RNA from 1 species
UGAACCGACGAUUAAUAGAUC